rnacentral:misc_RNA from 1 species
AAGUCGUAACAAGGUUUCCGUAGGUGAACCUGCGGAAGGAUCAUUAACGAGUAAACAGGAGAGUUGUAGCUGGCCGCAAGGCAUGUGCACGCUCUCUACUCAAUCCAACCUUACACCUGUGCACCUAUUGUAGGUCGAGUGGCUGGACUUGUUCUGCUCGCUCUUCCUAUGUUUUACACAUACACUUGUAGUCUCAGAAUGUAAUCAGCGUAUAACGCAUUAUAAAACAACUUUCAACAACGGAUCUCUUGGCUCUC